UAUAUGAUAGAAAUAUUCAUCCACUAACCAUGACUGUUUUACUAAAUAUUUCAACAAUUAUUUCGUUUAAAAUGCACAGUGAACAAUAGGAUUGUUUUCAACAUAACUUAUCCGUUGGUCGAGGCUGCAGUCCUGCAAGAGAGUUGUUUUCCUUAUUUUAUCAUUGAAGAGAACUGGAACAUUAGCAUAUUUUGAAAAAUGUAUUUUUGUUAUUGGCUGUGAAUUUAAAUGUUAGAACCACGAAAGCCCAUAAAAGAAAGAAUUUUGAUUAUCCUUCAUGUCGGUUAAAUCAAUGUCCGAAGUAUUGAUGUAGCGAAACUUUUAUAUUUAUGUAAUAAGUACAUUGUAAAAGACUAACAACUUUAACAUCAGUUAAUCAUAUUAUCAUUACUAUGUUCAUAAACAUUUACG
rnacentral:lncRNA from 1 species